GAUGAAGAACGCAGCGAAAUGCGAUACUUGGUGUGAAUUGCAGAAUCCCGUGAACCAUCAAGUCUUUGAACGCAAGUUGCGCCCGAAGCCAUUAGGCCGAGGGCACGCCUGCCUGGGCGUCACACGUCGUUGCCCCCCCAUCUACUCCUUCGGGAUUGCGGGGGGCGGAUGAUGGCCUCCCGUGCGCCUCGUCGCGCGGUUGGCCUAAAUGCCAAGUCCUCGGCGACGCACGCCACGACAAUCGGUGGUUGCGAAACCUCGGUUGCCUGUCGUGUGCGGUCGUCGCGCAUCGAGGGCUCGAAAAAAUUGCCGGGCUUCGGCUCGACUUUCAACGCGACCCCAGGUCAGGCGGGGUUACCCGCUGAAUUUAAGCAUAUCAAUAAGCGGAGGA
rnacentral:misc_RNA from 1 species